AGGACGAACGCUGGCGGCGUGCCUAAUACAUGCAAGUCUAAGGGGUGCAUACCCUUCGGGGUGUGUAUCACUGGCGCACGGGUGAGUAACGCGUAAGUUAUCUGCCCCUGGGUCUGGCAUAACCUCGGGAAACCGGGACUAAUUCCAGAUGAUACCGAAAGGUCAAAGCUUCGGCGCCCAGGGAUGAGCUUGCGUCUGAUUAGCUUGUUGGCGGGUAAUGGCCCACCAAGGCUACGAUCAGUAGCCGGUCUGAGAGGAUGAUCGGCAC
rnacentral:rRNA from 1 species